GAUGAAGAACGUAGCGAAAUGCGAUAAGUAAUGUGAAUUGCAGAAUUCAGUGAAUCAUCGAAUCUUUGAACGCAUCUUGCGCUCCUUGGUAUUCCGAGGAGCAUGCCUGUUUGAGUGUCAUUAAAUUCUCAACUCUCCUAUACUUUGUUGUAAAGGAGGGCUUGGAUUGUGGAGGCUUGCUGGCCGCUUGAUGUGGUCAGCUCCUCUGAAAUGCAUUAGCAGAACUGUUUGCGAUCUGCCACAAGUGUGAUAAAUUAUCUACACUGGCGAGGGGAUUGCUCUCUGUGUUCAGCUUCUAAUCGUCUUCAGUGACAAUUUCUUGAAUGCUUGACCUCAAAUCAGGUAGGACUACCCGCUGAACUUAAGCAUAUCAUAAGCGGAGGA
rnacentral:misc_RNA from 1 species